GUACUACUCCCUCCGUUCGGAAAUACUUGUCAUCAAAAUGAAUAAAAGGGGAUGUAUUUAGAUGUAUUUUCGUUCUAGAUACAUCCCUUUUUAUCUAUUUUGAUGACAAGUAUUUUCGGACGGAGGGAGUACCUC
rnacentral:pre_miRNA from 1 species